rnacentral:rRNA from 1 species
GUUUGAUCCUGGCUCAGAUUGAACGCUGGCGGCAUGCUUUACACAUGCAAGUCGAACGGUAACAGGGAGCUUGCUCCGCUGACGAGUGGCGAACGGGUGAGUAAUGCAUCGGAACGUACCCAGUCGUGGGGGAUAACGUAGCGAAAGUUACGCUAAUACCGCAUACGUCCUGAGGGAGAAAGCGGGGGACCGUAAGGCCUCGCGCGAUUGGAGCGGCCGAUGUCGGAUUAGCUAGUUGGUAGGGUAAAGGCCUACCAAGGCGACGAUCCGUAGCGGGUCUGAGAGGAUGAUCCGCCACACUGGGACUGAGACACGGCCCAGACUCCUACGGGAGGCAGCAGUGGGGAAUUUUGGACAAUGGGCGAAAGCCUGAUCCAGCCAUGCCGCGUGAGUGAAGAAGGCCUCGG